rnacentral:rRNA from 2 species
UCCUGACUGACCGAUAGUGAACCAGUACCGUGAGGGAAAGGCGAAAAGAACCCCGGCGAGGGGAGUGAAAAAGAACCUGAAACCGUGUACGUACAAGCAGUGGGAGCACGCUUAGGCGUGUGACUGCGUACCUUUUGUAUAAUGGGUCAGCGACUUAUAUUCUGUAGCAAGGUUAACCGAAUAGGGGAGCCGAAGGGAAACCGAGUCUUAACUGGGCGUUAAGUUGCAGGGUAUAGACCCGAAACCCGGUGAUCUAGCCAUGGGCAGGUUGAAGGUUGGGUAACACUAACUGGAGGACCGAACCGACUAAUGUUGAAAAAUUAGCGGAUGACUUGUGGCUGGGGGUGAAAGGCCAAUCAAACCGGGAGAUAGCUGGUUCUCCCCGAAAGCUAUUUAGGUAGCGCCUCGUGAAUUCAUCUCCGGGGGUAGAGCACUGUUUCGGCAAGG